rnacentral:lncRNA from 1 species
UCUCCUCUCCUCUCCUCUCCUCUCCUCUCCUCUCCUCUUCUCUUCUCUUCUCUUCUCUUCUCUUCUCUUCUCUCCCAUGAAGUAAUUCCUCAGCAGGAGCCAGUCCUCACCCCCAUCCUUCUUGAUUUCCUGGAAAGUUAUCAGUAAUGGCUUAGUGCCAGUGGCUAUGACAGAGAUGGGGUGUGAACAUUACCGGAACCUAGAGAAGAAAGCAUUUCGUGUUUUUUUUUUUUUCUGUAGUCAAGAGAACAAGCCCAGAGGGAGCCACACCAUCUAUUAAUGUAAUUAGGUCUUGUUUGCACUUCCUUAGCCAGGACCAGCGUUGACUUAACUCACUACCUUUGGAGGUAAAUGAUGGAGGUAUCGUCAUUAACCUUAUCCAGCUGAGAAAACAAGUUCCUUUCAGAUGAUUGACUUGGUUUAGGCUCCCCACCUAAGCAUCAGUAAUGAGACUAAAGCUUAGUCUUACAUUUCCUUGCUUAGCAUCCCCUAUAUCUCUUAUUUCCUGCAGUCUGCUUUGAGGCAUUUCCAGUGCACAGUCCCCAUAAGAAAUGUCUUCUUGACAUUCAAGCAACUACAUUCUGAUGUUAGAACCCACGGUAGAUUUAUCUUCCCUUGGCUCUGUGGAUAGUGGUAUUAGAAUAUAGUUCAUGAUCAACCAGAGACUAUUCUACAAACACCACCACCAUGUAAUGAGUGUAUGGAUGAAGGAUAGGGUAUUUUAUCAGGAGAGAAGACUUUUGCCUUUAAAAUAGUUUCUGGGAUGUGAAGAGUAAGAAUGGGCUGUGCACAGCAGCUAACUGUGCAGUGCUUGCAAAUCACUGACCUGUGACUUGCAGAAUCCUAUUUUAGAAAGAUUUGUACUGUUAAACUGAAGUUCCUUAUUUGGAACUCACAGCAUCCCUGAGCAGUAAGAAUCCAUCUCUUGACAAGAUAUGUAGGUUCAUCCAUUAUCAUAGAUGCAGAAUGGAUGCAGGGUCAGGAACCCCAGAGAAGGUCUCAAACUGUAGCUGACCCAUGAGUAAAGCACUUUUCCAAAGGGGGAGGGUGUUCAAUGUUCUUAAAUGACAAAUUUGUGAUGGCAUUAAUUAGUGUGCCGAAACUUCUAAAGCCACUAACUAGAUCUUCUUGUUUUUUUCUGUGAGUGCUGUGGUAACCUAGUGUGUGUAUACAGAAGUGGGGCAGGCAACUUAGAAACCCUUUAUCGAUAUGCUGUGCUAUCAUAUGACAACCUUGGGCUCCACGGUGUAAAUGAGGGGCUAGGUGCCUUCCAGCCUUCAAGAGAUACAGGUUGCCCUUUCCCUGGAGUUUGCAGUCACUCUACAUUUCAGAAUACGGAACUGGUGAGAUGGGACAAAGGUCGUGAGAAUCUGAGAUACGGGCCUUUAAUGAAGUACUAUGAAAAACUGCAAGGGGGUACCUGCAAAUAUUGGGAAGACAAAGCGAAAGGACCCACCCCUGUCCCCCAUGAGGAGGAGAGAGAAACCUCCAUGGAGUAGAGGCCACUCUGACGGGAAAGCAGGAGGCUUUGGAACCCACAGGAGAAGGUGAUUUUCCUCAGCUGCCUCACCUGGGCCAGGCAGGCCGGUGGGCCUUCGAGAGUCAGAAGUGUAUAGAGGAAAAACACAGACUCCCCAGACACAGAACUGACUCUUGUUGGGAAACAACGGUAUCCCCUCUACCCCCCAUAUUUGAAAGGGAAAGAUACUAUGAUGCAGCCUCCUCUCAGAGAGCCUUUGGUAAAGUGUUUGCUGUCCACAUGUCUACACUUGCCUCACUUCCUCUGAUAGCAAUGUUGCAGCCUACACUCCCACUCUGCUUGCACCGUGCUCUUCCCUCCCUCCCUACGGUAUUUCCUGCAUCCCUGUGAUGAUACCACGACACCUAGAAGACAUCGGGCUGCUGCAGAGUGGUUCAGCCGUGUUGGAAAGGGAACAGGGAUAACUUGCUCCAGGAGAAAGCAACAAAGUGUUCCAGAUCUGUCUCACGGCCCAGCACUUUCGGCUCAACAGUGGGAUUGUGGUCUUGAGUUUGGUUUCUACGUGUGGACAAAAGGAUGCUCCGAACCUUGGUAGCAAGCAUUGAUUGCCGUCAGAUUUUUUUCUCUGAUGUUGAAGAUUAACACCUUUGCACUAUGGUUAUGUUCACUAUGGAUUUGUAGGUGGCAAUGAAUCUAAUUCUCUUUAAAGGCAUUACGUGAUUGUUUUAUGGUGUAGUGCUGACAUAAUUGUAAAGAGAGAAUCUCUAUUGGUUAUCAUUAAUAUGAUGAUUGAGGUAAAGCAGUUUCUGGGGGGUAUUCCUUUUCUUAAUUUUUGUACCCCCCCAUCUAUGUUGUCAACUGGCUAGUCUCAGCCUCUCGCCCAAGGGAAAGUCUUUGAUAGCUCUCCUCUGAACAUUUUCAUUUGGGUUGAUUUCAUGUAACUGUUAAUUCAUUAUUCAUGUACUUAUCCAACUUAGUAAUGGAUAGUUUAAACCCUCAAAAAGUAGAAGGCCAAUUCAGUGCAUUCUCUUUCCUCUUUGCCCUUUUGUUUCCUUCCCAAAGACGUUUGCAUUUCCUUUUGUUUGGUGUGUGGUUGUCUGGGAUGUUUUCCUUCCUUAUCCAUCUUACACGGGGAGAAGCAGAGCUAUUCACACGGACUUCUCUGGGGGCACUAGUUCUUACUCCUUUUUCUCCUCAGAGUGUAAAAGCCCUGCUUCUAAAUGCCAGAAGGUGUCAUCUAGUGCAGGCAAACCCAGAGAGACCCCUGACCUCUAGCCUGACCCCACUUGAAGAUUACCUGAAGGCACUGAGCUCGCUGUUGGCUUUGACACUUAAAUGCUGCUUUAUGCAGUCUCUUAGAGGAAUCUAAGCUCUCAGAUUUUUGUGCCAAUUCUGCAAGAUCUUGGUGGGGCAUACAGUUGUGUAUCAUGAGGAAGUCAUAGUAUUCUUUUUCAUUAUUUCUAGAGGCUCUCCUCUGUGCAUGCUGGUUUCUGGGAAGGGCAUCUAAGGCCCAUUUGGUAAAGCAGUCUCUUCCAAACAGAAAAGGUACCUUCCAUUUGUGAGCAUCAUGACCUUCAGUACUGGGUCAUUGAACAAUCCCCCCAAGACCAGCAGCCUGGAACUUCAAAGUUUAACCACUUCUUGCCCAUAGUCCUGUGGGCUUCUCCAGAGAUAGCAAUAAGUCAGUAUAAAUCGAACUCUAACUAUCUUGAUAGUGGCAGAUGUAUGAAAGCCUGCAUGGUGGGGAAAAUAUAUGCAGAUGCCCUGCUGGAGAAGAACUCAGGUUCGAACCUACUGAAAUGCUAAGCAAAGUAUGUAAAAGAUAAAAAUAUAAAAAAAAAAGUUACCCAUGUGUCUUUUGUCUUUAGUGGUAUUUUUAUUUUCUACCAUCU